GAUGAACGCUGGCGGCGUGCUUAACACAUGCAAGUCGAACGAAGCACUUUAUUUGAUUUCCUUCGGGACUGAUUAUUUUGUGACUGAGUGGCGGACGGGUGAGUAACGCGUGGGUAACCUGCCUUGUACAGGGGGAUAACAGUUGGAAACGGCUGCUAAUACCGCAUAAGCGCACAGCAUCGCAUGAUGCAGUGUGAAAAACUCCGGUGGUAUAAGAUGGACCCGCGUUGGAUUAGCUAGUUGGUGAGGUAACGGCCCACCAAGGCGACGAUCCAUAGCCGACCUGAGAGGGUGACCGGCCACAUUGGGACUGAGACACGGUCCAAACUCCUACGGGAGGCAGCAGUGGGGAAUAUUGCACAAUGGGCGAAAGCCUGAUGCAGCGACGCCGCGUGAGCGAAGAAGUAUUUCGGUAUGUAAAGCUCUAUCAGCAGGGAAGAUAAUGACGGUACCUGACGAAGAAGCACCGGCUAAAUACGUG
rnacentral:rRNA from 1 species